GAUGAACGCUGGCGGCGUGCCUAAUACAUGCAAGUCGAGCGAACAGACGAGGAGCUUGCUCCUCUGAUGUUAGCGGCGGACGGGUGAGUAACACGUGGAUAACCUACCUAUAAGACUGGGAUAACUUCGGGAAACCGGAGCUAAUACCGGAUAACAUGUUGAACCGCAUGGUUCAACAGUGAAAGACGGUCUUGCUGUCACUUAUAGAUGGAUCCGCGCCGCAUUAGCUAGUUGGUAAGGUAACGGCUUACCAAGGCAACGAUGCGUAGCCGACCUGAGAGGGUGAUCAGCCACACUGGAACUGAGACACGGUCCAGACUCCUACGGGAGGCAGCAGUAGGGAAUCUUCCGCAAUGGGCGAAAGCCUGACGGAGCAACGCCGCGUGAGUGAAGAAGGUCUUCGGAUCGUAAAACUCUGUUAUUAGGGAAGAACAAAUGUGUAAGUAACUAUGCACGUCUUGACGGUACCUAAUCAGAAAGCCACGGCUAACUACGUG
rnacentral:rRNA from 1 species